rnacentral:misc_RNA from 1 species
AAAGUCGUAACAAGGUUUCCGUAGGUGAACCUGCGGAAGGAUCAUUACCGAGUAUAGGGGUCUCCCUCGUGGUGGCCCCGAACUCCCACCCCGUGCUUACGUACCUCUGUUGCCUCGGCGGGCCGGCUAGUAAUUCUUUAAGAGUUACCUAGCAUCCGGCCCUUGCGCUGGACAGCGCCCGCCAGAGGACCAACCAAACUCGUCUUUGACCGGUAGUCUGAGUAAAACAACAAAUAAGUUAAAACUUUCAACAACGGAUCUCUUGGUUCUG